UGUUUCUUUUUUUAAAAAAAUAACUUUUCAAAAUUGCUGCCAAUACUAUUUAUUUUACGAGGUUUUUCAUAUUGUUGGCUUCGUGAUAUGAACACAGCAUUACUUCCAAGAAUAAUGUACUUUAUAUGUUCUAGGCUCAGGGAAUUAUGCUGAAGACUGAUACACAUCACAGAGAAGAGUAGAUAUACUGCUUUGAUUGAGGCCAUUGGGCAAAUUAAUUGAAUAAAUUUAUCAAAGAUGUAUCAGGAUCUUGAUUAUAGCGUAUCCUGCUCACCCAAUUGUGUGCUCACUGAAACCCAUUUUAAACUUGUCUGUGGCUUCUCAGCAUAGUUAGAUAAGCAACUUCAACUUAUCUGUGGACUGCUGAAGACAUUGCUGUAGGAAAGAUGUGUGCAAGAAAUACAAUGGCUUUGCUGCCAUUAAAAACUUUAUGACAAGAUGCUGAACAAGAAGUAAUUUAUAACUAAGGAUGAGGAUGAGGAUGAAGAUGAGGAAGAGGACACGAACCAGAGCUGACGCCAGCCUUAACAACUCCUUUUUCAUCCUGUUCCCCUGUGUCUUGUGGAUUCUGUUUCUGUUUGUUUCUUCAAAUAAAAUGUGCCUUCCACAGUGUUUUGUGUUUGUUUUCCGCUUCUCCAUUAUGGAUUGUGUGGCGAG
rnacentral:lncRNA from 1 species